AGCUUUUAGAAAUUAAAAAAGAAGAAGAAUUAGAAUAACGUAUGCCCUGAUGAUUGGGUUUUCAUGCGCACGAGUGAAAUGUGACUCCCGCAAAUCUUGUUACAACAUCGGCACGUUACCCAUCUGACA
rfam:Otolemur garnettii contig069119, whole genome shotgun sequence.